UCUCCGUAGGUGAACCUGCGGAGGGAUCAUUACACAAAUAUGAAGGCGGGCUGGAACCUCUCGGGGUUACAGCCUUGCUGAAUUAUUCACCCUUGUCUUUUGCGUACUUCUUGUUUCCUUGGUGGGUUCGCCCACCACUAGGACAAACAUAAACCUUUUGUAAUUGCAAUCAGCGUCAGUAACAAAUUAAUAAUUACAACUUUCAACAACGGAUCUCUUGGUUCUGGCAUCGAUGAAGAACGCAGCGAAAUGCGAUAAGUAGUGUGAAUUGCAGAAUUCAGUGAAUCAUCGAAUCUUUGAACGCACAUUGCGCCCUUUGGUAUUCCAAAGGGCAUGCCUGUUCGAGCGUCAUUUGUACCCUCAAGCUUUGCUUGGUGUUGGGCGUCUUGUCUCUAGCUUUGCUGGAGACUCGCCUUAAAGUAAUUGGCAGCCGGCCUACUGGUUUCGGAGCGCAGCACAAGUCGCACUCUCUAUCAGCAAAGGUCUAGCAUCCAUUAAGCCUUUUUUUCAACUUUUGACCUCGGAUCAGGUAGGGAUACCCGCUGAACUUAAGCAUAUCAAUAGGCGGGAGGAAA
rnacentral:rRNA from 1 species